AGUGAACGCUGGCGGUAGGCCUAACACAUGCAAGUCGAACGGCAGCACAGUAAGAGCUCGCUCUUACGGGUGGCGAGUGGCGGACGGGCGAGGAAUACAUCGGAAUCUACUUUUUCGUGGGGGAUAACGUAGGGAAACUUACGCUAAUACCGCAUACGACCUACGGGUGAAAGCAGGGGAUCUUCGGACCUUGCGCGAUUGAAUGAGCCGAUGUCGGAUUAGCUAGUUGGCGGGGUAAAGGCCCACCAAGGCGACGAUCCGUAGCUGGUCUGAGAGGAUGAUCAGCCACACUGGAACUGAGACACGGUCCAGACUCCUACGGGAGGCAGCAGUGGGGAAUAUUGGACAAUGGGCGCAAGCCUGAUCCAGCCAUACCGCGUGGGUGAAGAAGGCCUUCGGGUUGUAAAGCCCUUUUGUUGGGAAAGAAAAGCAGCAGGUUAAUACCCCGCUGUUCUGACGGUACCCAAAGAAUAAGCACCGGCUAACUUCGUG
rnacentral:rRNA from 1 species